UCCCGUUUGGUCUAGUGGUUAGGAUUUCUAGAUUUCACCCAGGAAGCCCGGGCUCAACUCCUGGCAUGGAAA